rnacentral:lncRNA from 1 species
AUUCAUCCGAAAUUGGAUUUGAAAUUUCAAAUAUACUACGAUCAUCUACUCUUGAAUUGAUUAUCGAAAUAUAUUCGAAUAUUUGGUUGAAGUUGAAUCUACUAAGUUUAUUCAUAGCAUAUGUUAUAUCAGGUCAAUUAAAGUUUGUAAUGUACAUUAGCGUGCUAUAACUUGUGAACACUUUAGGUGAGACACCAGCUAUUCAAG